rnacentral:rRNA from 1 species
CAACAGGGAUUGCCUCAGUAACUGCGAGUGAAGCGGCAAGAGCUCAAAUUUGAAAUCUGGCGUCUUUCGGCGUCCGAGUUGUAAUUUGGAGAGACAUCUUCGGAGAAGGGGCCGUUCUAAGUUCCUUGGAACAGGACGUCACAGAGGGUGAGAAUCCCGUGCUCGGGCGGCUACCCAUCUCCAUGUGAAGUGUCUUCGACGAGUCGAGUUGUUUGGGAAUGCAGCUCAAAAUGGGUGGUAAAUUUCAUCUAAAGCUAAAUAUUGGCGAGAGACCGAUAGCGCACAAGUAGAGUGAUCGAAAGAUGAAAAGCACUUUGAAAAGAGAGUUAAAAAGUACGUGAAAUUGUUGAAAGGGAAGCGCUCGAGACCAGACUCGACUUUCACCGAUCAGCCGUGCUUCUGUGCGGUGCACUCGGGGUUUGUCGGGCCAGCAUCGGUUCCGGCGGUGGGAUAAAAGGCGAUGGAAUGUGGCUCCCCUCGGGGAGUGUUAUAGCCAACGUCACAAUGCCACCAGCUGGGACCGAGGAACGCGCUUCGGCGAGGAUGCUGGCGUAAUGGUCUUUAGCGACCCGUCUUGAAACACGGACCAAGGAGUCUAACAUCUAUGCGAGUGUUCGGGUGUAAAACCCCUGCGCGAAAUGAAAGUGAACGGAGGUGGGAACCCGCAAGGGUGCACCAUCGACCGAUCCUGAUGUCUUCGGAAGGAUUUGAGUAGGAGCAUAGCUGUUGGGACCCGAAAGAUGGUGAACUAUGCCUGAAUAGGGUGAAGCCAGAGGAAACUCUGGUGGAGGCUCGCAGCGGUUCUGACGUGCAAAUCGAUCGUCAAAUUUGGGUAUAGGGGCGAAAGACUAAUCGAACCAUCUAGUAGCUGGUUCCUGCCGAA